UAGUGAUCUUCCUGCCUCAGCCUCCCGAGUAGCCAGGACUACAGAAUUAGAAGAGAGGUCAUAAGAAUUGACACAAGAAUUGCAUGAGGGAGGAGAUGGCCAAGACUACAGAAUCACCCCAGCUCAGCCUCUUGCCAUCCAGGUGUAGGGCUGGAUUUGGAAGUGUCAGGUGAGUACAUAAGACCUGGGCAGCAGAAUGGAGAGGCCAGGGCUUCCAAGAUGAAAGCAGUGGCCAGUGUCAUGUGAAUGUCCCAUACCUGGGACAUUAGGUUGUUGACAUGGAUGGGGUCAUGCAGGAGAUGUACUUACAGGGUGAAGAGUUUUUGCUUUCAUGUAAAGAAUGGGGCUGGACAAAGGCACCUCUUUUGCUAUGAUUUGAGUAAUUCUCUCCUGGAGUGUUGUAUCUAUAAUGAAAUUCUGGAAAGAAAAGAUUAAAAAUGCAGUUCAUUGCCUGGGAACAGUGGCUGUCCCCACUCGCCUUUCUGAGGCCCCAGGUGAGUAUUACCUUUAGGUGGUUCCUUUCUGCAGGCUCUUCGGGAGGUAGGAAUCUUAGUGCCACAGUCCUGACAUUUGUUACCCUGCAUUUCAGUGCCAGAAUCAGAACAGAAGCUGUGUCCUGUAUCAGAAUCUGAAAAAGCCCAAGUUGCAUAAAUGAAGGGUAAGCGUCUUAAUUAUAGUCAUAAAAUACGGUGUGGAGAGCAGAGCUAUAACCAUGCAGGGUAUGUAUUUGGCACCAAAGUACUUAACGUCCCGGCUGUGUCACCAAGGGAAGUUGCCAGCCUGGGGUAACAUUUGGGAUUCCCGUCUAACAACUGAGAAAUGUUUUGAUAAUUAACAUUUCUUGUAUGAAAAUCUCAAGAGGUAGCAUACAUAUUUAGGCUUAGUAAAGGUCUGCUGAAUGAAUGGAUCUGCGAUUUGGCCCACUGAACUAUCAGACAACCUUGUAUUUGUAUUUGUUCUUCCAUAGUUGGCCUGAUACGUCCACAUUCUUUCUCUCAGACCCUGCUGUGGCCAAGAGCUUGUAUUUUGUCAUCCAGGCAACUGGAAAGAUAGGUUUCUUCUAUGUGACAUUCAUAAGCCUAUAAGGGAACCUGAAUCAUGACUUUGCUCUCUUAGCCUCAGAGAAGCUAGUAGCAGACAGCACAUGCAUCUGGUGCAGGUCUAGAACCUGUCUGGCAGGCUGUGGACAGAGCAGCACUCCAGGUAAGGCCAGAGUAUGAAAGCCUGGGGCCAGGCGGGUGAGCAUGUCAGGCCUGGAUGUCCAAGCAACAUCUUGCUGCAGGACAGAUGCUGCAGUGACAAAGCCUCUUCCAAUGCUUCUCGCCUUACUGAACUCAUGGUUAGACUCAUUUUUAACAUUAUCUUUCAAAGUAUGUUAAAGUGAAGUCAUCCCUGGCUGACAUCUUGACUUUUAACAUAUUAUACAAUAUAUAAUAACUUCAUUGUAUAAGAACAAAUCCAUUUCAUAUUAGCAAAUGGAAUGAGUUUGAAGGCCCAGGGUUGAAGCCUGGCUCUGCUACUUAUUAGCUAUGAUGGUUGAAAAUAUGUUCACAAAUUCUUUAACAUGCUGUUUUUAUUUUUUUUUUUUUUUGAACCAAGGUUUCAUUCUGUUGCUCCCAGGCUGAAGUGCAGUGGC